CCUACGGGUGGCAGCAGUGGGGAAUAUUGGACAAUGGGCGAAAGCCUGAUCCAGCCAUGCCGCGUGUGUGAAGAAGGCCUUCGGGUUGUAAAGCACUUUCAGUGGGGAAGAAAGCCUUGGGGCUAAUACCCUCGAGGAAGGACAUCACCCACAGAAGAAGCACCGGCUAACUCCGUGCCAGCAGCCGCGGUAAUACGGAGGGUGCGAGCGUUAAUCGGAAUUACUGGGCGUAAAGCGCGCGUAGGCGGUCUGAUAAGCCGGUUGUGAAAGCCCCGGGCUCAACCUGGGAACGGCAUCCGGAACUGUCAGGCUAGAGUGCAGGAGAGGAAGGUAGAAUUCCCGGUGUAGCGGUGAAAUGCGUAGAGAUCGGGAGGAAUACCAGUGGCGAAGGCGGCCUUCUGGACUGACACUGACGCUGAGGUGCGAAAGCGUGGGUAGCAAAUAGGAUUAGAUACCCCAGUAGUC
rnacentral:rRNA from 1 species